UUAUGCCAUGCUGGACAUGGCCAAUGUAUGUCUGAAGAUGUUCCCAUAGCAGAAGAAUGAGACAAGAUAUAAGAUGGACAAGACUUGGAAAACAUUCCGGGAACAUUGUACAGGUGUGAUUGUGUAUAGGUGGAGGAAGACUACAGUAGAAGUGGCUGGAUGGGAUAGAGUGUGAGGCAAGAAGUAGGCAAGCUCCUCUGGCUGUCACAUUCCAACCUGGAAUCCUGCUGACAGGAAUGUUGAGGAAUGUUGCUUCCAGGCUUCUAGCUCAUGUAAUACAAAGAACAUUGAGAAAGCCCUUUUGAAAUAUUUAUGGCCAUCAUCAUCAUAUCCAAGAAACCUUAAGACCUGAUUACAUGCAGCUGUUG